UAAAAUUCCAAGUGGUACUCAGUCUGGAAGAGUAAGCAAAGCAGCUCCAACAGCCACUGAAGACAAAGAAAAACAAGACAACUAAUUUGGUCAGAGAGCUGUUGUGCCCUCCACAUCUCUUUCAGUAAUAAAAAAAGAGCCUGGUAUCUUCUAGGCCAAUCAUCUCACAGCUCAGGUUAUAUGUGACCUUUUGGAGUCCUCUGGGAAGCCCUGGCUCAGAGCACGUGGAAAUAUAGGUAAGUGAUAUUAUUUGGCUUUGCUAUACUGCCUAUUGAUUUCAAUGAAGUUUAAGAUGUGGCAAUAGCACAGACAAGGUAAAGAAAAGUUCUUAGCAAAUUCUCUUGACAAUACACUUUUUGUUGUUAAAAUUCACAAUGCCAAAUGAUGUGGAAGAACUUAGCUCAGAUGCACUGUCAGAUAA
rnacentral:lncRNA from 1 species